CUGGAAGCCAGUUCUUCUUCUCCAGACUCCACGUUCCUCUUCCGCAGGUUCAUCAGAGACAACGGUUCUCGCCUAAUGUUGAAACACAAGAUGCCAGCUCCAGGCCUGUUUUGGGUGACACAAGGGUGAGCAAGACAGACAAGUGAAGCCCUGUGCAACUUAUGUCCCAGUGAGGAGUGGCAGACAAUCAGCAGACAACCCAGAGCACGAUCAAGCACGUGGGGAACAAAACCAGCACGUGCAGUGAGGACCGUCCCACCAUGGCCGCUUCCCGCCUCCAGA